AGCGUGUGACGUACGAGCCAGUGAGUCUGACGUCCCACAGAUGGGGGGAGCCAGCGAGUCUCCCUCUCCUUGCCACUCUCGGAGGCAGAGCGUGUGACGCGCGUUGGGGGGGGGGCGGAGCGAGAGAGGAGAGAGCGUGUGACGUACAUACGUACGUGGCAGCAGCGAGACGCAGGGAGAGAGGGAAGUGUCUGUGACGCAGCGCCUCGACCGUCGACAUAAACACGGAGAGAGCGAGGCUGAGGCCUAGAGCAGACGGACGGGCAAUGGACAAUGCAGAGAGUGAGGAAAAUGCCCCAACCUCCCCGCA